rnacentral:rRNA from 1 species
AGAGUUUGAUCAUGGCUCAGAAUCAACGCUGGCGGCGCGCUUAACACAUGCAAGUCGAACGAGAAAGGGGAGCAAUCCCUGAGUAAAGUGGCGCACGGGUGAGUAACACGUGGGUAAUCUGCCUCUGGGUGGGGAAUAACUCUGGGAAACCGGAGCUAAUACCGCAUAAGCCCCCAUUGAAGAAAUGGGUGGGAAAGGCGAAAGUCGCCGAGAGAGGAGCCCGCGGUCGAUUAGCUAGUUGGUGGGGUAAAGGCCUACCAAGGCAGUGAUCGAUAGCCGGCCUGAGAGGGCACACGGCCACACUGGCACUGAAACACGGGCCAGACUCCUACGGGAGGCAGCAGUGGGGAAUCUUGCACAAUGGGGGAAACCCUGAUGCAGCGACGCCGCGUGAGCGAUGAAGCCCUUCGGGGUGUAAAGCUCUUUCGGCAGGGACGAUGAUGACGGUACCUGAAGAAGAAGCUGCGGCUAACUACGUGCCAGCAGCCGCGGUAAUACGUAGGCAGCGAGCGUUGUUCGGAGUUACUGGGCGUAAAGAGUGCGUAGGCGGUGGUCCAAGUCUGGUGUGAAAUCUCCCGGCUCAACCGGGAGGGUGCGCCGGAAACUGGGCUGCUGGAGUGCCGGAGAGGCAGGCGGAAUUCCUGGUGUAGCGGUGAAAUGCGUAGAUAUCAGGAGGAACACCCGUGGUGUAGACGGCCUGCUGG